rnacentral:tRNA from 1 species
GCAAGCAUGCUGGAAUCGGUAAACAGAUCUCAUUUAAGUCGAGAUGUCUAUAGUGGCUUAAGGGUUCAAGUCCCUUUGUUUGUA